AACAAGGCGUACCUGCGGACCUGCGGAAGGAUCAUUACCGAGUUUACAACUCCCAAACCCCUGUGAACAUACCACUUGUUGCCUCGGCGGAUCAGCCCGCUCCCGGUAAAACGGGACGGCCCGCCAGAGGACCCCUAAACUCUGUUUCUAUAUGUAACUUCUGAGUAAAACCAUAAAUAAAUCAAAACUUUUAGCAAUGGAUCU
rnacentral:misc_RNA from 1 species